AUUGAACGCUGGCGGCAUGCCUUACACAUGCAAGUCGAACGGUAACAGGUCUUCGGAUGCUGACGAGUGGCGAACGGGUGAGUAAUACAUCGGAACGUGCCUAGUAGUGGGGGAUAACUACUCGAAAGAGUGGCUAAUACCGCAUGAGAUCUACGGAUGAAAGCAGGGGAUCGCAAGACCUUGUGCUACUAGAGCGGCCGAUGGCAGAUUAGGUAGUUGGUGGGAUAGAAGCUUACCAAGCCGACGAUCUGUAGCUGGUCUGAGCGGACAAUCGGCCACACUGGGACUGAGACACGGCCCAGACUCCUACGGGAGGCAGCAGUGGGGAAUUUUGGACAAUGGGCGCAAGCCUGAUCCAGCAAUGCCGCGUGCAGGAUGAAGGCCUUCGGGUUGUAAACUGCUUUUGUACGGAACGAAAAGCCCUGGGUUAAUACCCUGGGGUCAUGACGGUACCGUAAGAAUAAGCACCGGCUAACUACGUGCCAGCAGCCGCCGUAACAC
rnacentral:rRNA from 1 species